UGGGGAAUAUUGGACAAUGGGCGAAAGCCUGAUCCAGCCAUGCCGCGUGUGUGAAGAAGGUCUUCGGAUUGUAAAGCACUUUAAGUUGGGAGGAAGGGCAUUAACCUAAUACGUUAGUGUUUUGACGUUACCGACAGAAUAAGCACCGGCUAACUCUGUGCCAGCAGCCGCGGUAAUACAGAGGGUGCAAGCGUUAAUCGGAAUUACUGGGCGUAAAGCGCGCGUAGGUGGUUUGUUAAGUUGGAUGUGAAAUCCCCGGGCUCAACCUGGGAACUGUAUUCAAAACUGACUGACUAGAGUAUGGUAGAGGGUGGUGGAAUUUCCUGUGUAGCGGUGAAAUGCGUAGAUAUAGGAAGGAACACCAGUGGCGAAGGCGACCACCUGGACUAAUACUGACACUGAGGUGCGAAAGCGUGGGGAGCAAACA
rnacentral:rRNA from 1 species